GCUAAAAUAUAUUUAAAAGACGAGAAGACCCUAUAGAGUUUUAUAAUUUAAAAAUUAAAAUAUUUAUAUUAAAUUUUAAUAUAAUAUUUUUUAAAUUAUUUUGUUGGGGUGAUAAAAAAAUAAAUAAAACUUUUUUUAAAAAAUAUCAAAGAUAAUUGAAUAAAUGAUCCAAAUUAAUGAUUAAAAGAAAAAAUUACCUUAGGGAUAACAGCGUAAUAUUUUUUUUUAGUACAAAUAAAAAAAAAAGUUUGCGACCUCGAUGUUGGAUUAAGAUAAAAUUUAAAUGCAAAAGUUUAAAAUUUUGAUCUGUUCGAUCAUUAAAAUCUUACAAUGUAGUGGAUUUUGCCAGCCGCACAGCACGACUCUCUUCCCACCGGUCUUGACUCUGGGCCGCAGCACCUUGACCGUCCCGCGGUCCCCUGUUCCUUCGUCUUUCCGCUGGCGACUUGUAUGAAAGAGUUGAUGAAACGUUCACCGCCUCUUCGUUAUAGCUAUUAUUU
rnacentral:rRNA from 1 species